UCAUGUGGCCAUGUGCAAUGGGUUUGAAUGGUCCCCUCCCUCUCCUCCUCUACUUUCAUCCCUGCUGUGUUCUUGGCCAUUUCCAGGGCCAGAUUUACUGGGAAAUUGUUGUGAUGGUAAAUCCCUUUUUUCUUGACUCUUGGCUAAUAAUAAACUACCUCACCCAGUCUGUCGCCCCGGUUUUGUUUUGACAUGGUCUCGCUUGCUGACGAUGAUAUUGUGUGUGCUCCGCUACAAGUCUCUUGCAUCUUUCGUUUUUGUGGAAGAUUUAUACUGCCGAUGUUGUGCUUGUGGUGGCCAUUGAGUGGUGUACACAUUGUCUCUAAAAGUUACAGUGCCACACUGUAUGUAUAUGGAA